UUUAUUUUUCGAUUGGCUUUUGAAGAUCGUCUUUAAAAACCGUCUUCCAACGAUUUACAUAAACAGAUAUUUUUCUACACGACAAUAACACAGCAAAUUGAGCUGGCCAUGCAGGUGACCCUGUUAAUCGACUCACCGGCUCACCGACGUUUCAACGGUGUCGUUAGGCCAGCAUAAGUACUUAUACCCGACUAAUUAAGAGCGAAAAGGAGUCAAGAAGUGCUCUACAUUCGUGCCUGAAAAGCCAGGACCAAGGGCAGAAGUUCAACACAACCGAAAAAAAAAUAAAGGAAAAUAUCAAAGAAACAAUAUUGCAGUUGAACUUUUCUCUUACUUCUUCACUUUUUCUCAGUUUUGUUGCAGUUUUUCAUUCUGGUCUUUUGAGACGCAAUGGAGCGUUCGACUAAGACAGCUGGACUUUCGGUUAAUUGGAGCGCGAGUUUUCUUUCAGAUAACGGAGACAAAAAAUCAUGAGCAGUCGUGUGGAAAAAGUUUAUUAAAUCCUGUAACGAAUUAUAAGUGCGAGAGAAUUCAGAGACGGUAUCCAGCUGCAUAUCGGCCUAGUUCCCGUGCACGGUGCACUCGGCCAAUUGUUUGGGGGAAGAGGGGACUAGAGGAGGAGUGAAAAAUUCAGGUGUAUGCUUUCAACGUGGUGAGACAAAAAAUGGUCUUCAUCAAAAAGAAGGCACUUUGUAUGUUGCUGAGGAAGAGGAUGUUACGAUUAUAUUUGAAAAUUGCACGUGAGACUUUUUUUCACACCAUUCGGAGGAAAAUACUAUUGUUGAGGGCAAUCAAAGCGAGCGGCUUGUAAGGGAGACAGAUAGAAUUGGAUAAUUCAACAUUCGAGGCAGGAGGCAUUUCGGAUCAAACCGCUUCGGAGCUAUCGGAAUUCUC